GGCACCAUGGUGUAGUGGUUAUCACAUCUGCCUAACUCGCAGAAUGUCCCCAGUUCGAGCCUGCGUGGUGUCA
rnacentral:tRNA from 1 species